rnacentral:rRNA from 1 species
GAUGAACGCUGGCGGCGUGCCUAAUACAUGCAAGUCGAGCGAACGGACGAGAAGCUUGCUUCUCUGAUGUUAGCGGCGGACGGGUGAGUAACACGUGGAUAACCUACCUAUAAGACUGGGAUAACUUCGGGAAACCGGAGCUAAUACCGGAUAAUCUUUUGAACCGCAUGGUUCAAAAGUGAAAGACGGUCUUGCUGUCACUUAUAGCUGGAUCCGCGCUGCAUUAGCUAGUUGGUAAGGUAACGGCUUACCAAGGCAACGAUGCAUAGCCGACCUGAGAGGGUGAUCGGCCACACUGGAACUGAGACACGGUCCAGACUCCUACGGGAGGCAGCAGUAGGGAAUCUUCCGCAAUGGGCGAAAGCCUGACGGAGCAACGCCGCGUGAGUGAUGAAGGUCUUCGGAUCGUAAAACUCUGUUAUUAGGGAAGAACAUAUGUGUAAGUAACUGUGCACAUCUUGACGGUACCUAAUCAGAAAGCCACGGCUAACUACGUG